GUGAACCUGCGGAAGGAUCAUUGUCGAAACCUGCAGACGACCCGCGAACCAGUCAUCAACAUGUUGGGGGCGUCGUGCUUACCCACGUAACCCCUGUGCGCCGGUGGUGGACUGGCGUGCCUGUCACGACUGUCCCACCACCUGCCAAACAAACCAACCCCGGCGCGGCACGCGCCAAGGAACUUUGCAAUGAAAGAAGGAUCACGCCCCCGCUCGUGCCGGAAAUCGGAUAACACGGUCGGGUGGCUGUCCUCUCGUUCUUAACAAAAACGACUCUCGGCAACGGAUAUCUAGGCUCUUGCAUCGAUGAAGAACGUAGCGAAAUGCGAUACUUGGUGUGAAUUGCAAGAAUCCCGUGUUCCAUCCGAGUCUUUGAACGCAAGUUGCGCCCGAAGCCUUCUGGCCAAGGGCACGUCUGCCUGGGUGUCACACAUCGUCGCCCCCCAACCCAAUACCUCGCUGGAGGUACCCGGGAAUUGGAUGGGCGGAUAAUGGUCUCCCGUGCGCACCCGCUCGCGGUUGGCCCAAAAUGUAGUUCCUGGCGAAGUCAAGCCACGACCAGCGGUGGUUGAAAGACCCUCGACGGGAGUCGUGAGCACCUGCCUCGCACGGGACAUGCCGACCCCGAACGUGUUCUGUACUUCGAACACUCACAAA
rnacentral:rRNA from 1 species